CACGCAUGACACACUGCAUAUCAAUAAGCGGAGGAAAAGAAACUAACAAGGAUUCCCUUAGUAACGGCGAGUGAAGCGGGAAGAGCUCAAAUUUGAAAUCUUCAAGGUUCUACCUUGACGAAUUGUAGUUUAUAGAAGUGUUUUCUGUUAGUAGAGUGGCAAAAGUUCUUUGGAAUAGGACAUCAUAGAGGGUGAGAAUCCCGUAUUUGACCGUUACUUUCCAGCUGUGUGAUACACUUUCAAAGAGUCGGAUUGUUUGGGAAUGCAGUCCAAGAUGGGUGGUAAAUUUCACCUAAAGCUAAAUAUUGGCGAGAGACCGAUAGCGAACAAGUACCGUGAGGGAAAGAUGAAAAGAACUUUGAAAAGAGAGUUAAACAGUACGUGAAAUUGUCAAAAGGGAAGCGUUUGACACCAGUGUUGUUUAGUUGAAAAUCAAUUCAAUAAUUUUUGAUUUUGAGUAGUAUUGACUUCAUCAGCUUGCUGCUUUCUUUUCCGAAAUUAUUGAAUGCACUUUUCAGUUAACAAGUCAACAUCAAUUUCUUUUGUUGUAAAAGGGUAAGAGGAAGGUGGCUUUCUUUUCGGAGAAAGUGUUUAUAGCCUUGUGCCUCUGCAAUCGGAGAGAUUGAGGUCUGCAGCGUAGAUCCUUCGGGGUUAGAUACAGUUUGUGCUAAGUUAUAGCUUUUCAUAGACAACUUGUUGACUAUGUUUAGUCUUGUAGCUUACUCGCUGACGCUAUUUUACCUACGCUUAGGAUGUUGAUCUACAGAGCGAGAGU
rnacentral:rRNA from 1 species